GAGACCCGGCUUCCCGCCACUUGGGACCUAACGAGGAGGGGUCACCCUCCGAGGCUGGGGGCGCCCUGCGGCCCCUCGAGUGCGCACGCAGCCUGAACCGCCCCAGCCCCGCUACAACUAAAGCCCAUUAAGACGCCUCCCUGGACGGGCAAUAACCCAGAGCGAGAUCCCCGAGCGGCUGAAACUGCCCGGCCCCCCAAACCAGGCGCAGACCUCCGAGGAACGGGUAGGGGCUUCUCGGGCCCCCUUUCACCGGCGCACCUGAGUCCCUGGCCUACCUGCGCGGCUCGCUCGCCCUUUGCAAAAAUCAAACUUGCUAAACCAAACUGGGCUUCCCUCGUCAAGCUCUUUAACCAACUCUUUUUUUUGGCAAAUGACAAUCACUUUACCGUUAAUCUUUGUAAAGACCAAUUGAAGAAUAGGGUAUGCGGUGUGACUAGAAAAUAGUAUUGUUUUCACGUGUAGUCUGAAGUAGUCACUCAUUCAUUUGAAAUUAACUCUCGCAAUGUAGUACUUAAAGUACUCUAAAUGCAAAUUUUGGCAACACAGCCACUGGGCUUCCUCUGGUGACAGAGUUGGACAGAGCAUGGACUUGGGCCUCACUUAGAGGCUCCUGCUUCAAUACCGUGGCUCAGAACAUGUGACGUGACCUGGCUAAUUCCGUAAACAAGAAGCAAGGAAGGAUUUCAAAUUAGCCUAUCUGGGCAAAAGAUGUGAUGAAUGUGACUGCCUGUUUUGCAAAAAACUGAAACCCUACAAAGAUUCUAGUACCACCCUGGAGCAGAAAUCCUAGGCCCAGAGCAGAGGGCUGUCCUCAGAAUCCACAUUGUUUCUGGAAUAACAUGGGUUUUUCUCAGAAGAAAUAUCCCACCCGUGUGUGGGGGUCCUCCAACUGAAAUGGGGUGUUUCGUCAGCCUGUGUUCCCCCGAAUGCCUGGAGUAUGCCAGUGCCACCGGUUCUGAGAGGAAGGUGAGCAAGAGGAAUUUGGGGUGGAAAGAGGUAACAGUCAUAGUCUUAAUCAGUUGUAGCCCCAACAACCUACAAAUGCCUGUGACGGUGUGGAUGUAUAGCUUAGGACCCCUGCCAGGGGCUUGGAAUGGCUCAUGCAUGGAGGAUCCCUGAAGCUCAAGCUGCACGACCUUUAAGUGUAUCUACCUCUGCUGCUGUCUUCAGCCUCGACCUCCUCCACACUCCAGCUUCCCUGUUUCACCUACCAUGCGGCUUCAGUCUCCUGAAGCGACCAAGACUGCGGCGCUUGGCCAGCCAGCACCCUCGUCCGGCC